CCCUUAGAUGUUCUGGGCGGCCCGCGCACUACAUUGGCACUCUCAAUAAGUUCCUAGAUCUAAAACUUUGGGGUAUUCUAUUAAGUGGUGUCGUGACUGGGAUUAACCCUUGCAAUUAUUGGUUACGAACGAGGAAUUCCUUGUAAUCGCGGUUUAUCAGCCCGCGUUGAAUGCGUCCCUGCCCUUUGUACACACCGCCCGUCGCUCCUACCGAUGAAUCGUCCGGUGAAGUUCAUGGGGUGGUGGUUGUUCCAGCUGCUGUCGAAGUGAAAUGGACCUCACGAUUUAGAGGAAGGAGAAGUCGUAACA
rnacentral:rRNA from 1 species